rnacentral:rRNA from 1 species
CUACGGGAGGCAGCAGUGAGGAAUAUUGCACAAUGGGGGGAACCCUGAUGCAGCAACGCCGCGUGGAGGAUGACGCAUUUCGGUGUGUAAACUCCUUUUAUAUGUCAAGAAAAUGACGGUAGCAUAUGAAUAAUCACCGGCUAACUCCGUGCCAGCAGCCGCGGUAAUACGGAGGGUGCAAGCGUUACUCGGAAUCACUGGGUGUAAAGGACGCGUAGGCGGGUUGGAAAGUCAGGUGUGAAAUCCUACAGCUUAACUGUAGAACUGCACUUGAAACUUCUAAUCUAGAGUAUGGGAGGGGGAGAUGGAAUUAGUGGUGUAGGGGUAAAAUCCGUAGAUAUCACUAGGAAUACCUAAAGCGAAGGCGAUCUCCUGGAACAUUACUGACGCUAAGGCGUGAAAGCGUGGGGAGCAAACAGGAUUAGAUACCCUUGUAGUC